UCGACCUUACUUGAACAUGAUCUGUUCUAUAGGUUGUACAUUUUAGUCUGCGUAGAUUCCUAUUCAGAGAAGCACACAAAUCUGGAAGAUGAACUAUGGCUCUUGGGCCAGAGCGCGAAUACUGUGAUGGUUGGGGUGGCUUCCCACUUCCACCCUUCUCUUGAUGAACAUCCUGUCUGUUACAUUUCCAAUUCCACACAGUGAAGGCCUGAGAGCGUUCUGAUGGAUC
rnacentral:snoRNA from 1 species